GCCGGGCGUGGUGCCGGGCGCCUGUAGUCCCAGCUACUCGGGAGGCUGAGGCAGGAGAUUAUCGAGAACUCGGGAGGCAGAGCUUGCAGUAAGCUGAGAUCAUGCCACUGCACUCCAGCCUGGGCAACAGAGCAAGACUCUGUCUCAAAAGAAAAAAAAAAAAAAGUCUCUUGCUCAGUUGCCCAGGCUGGAGUGCAGUGGUGUGGUCUCAGCUAACUGCAAACUCCGCCUCCCGGGUUCAAGCGAUUCUCCUGCUUCAG
rnacentral:SRP_RNA from 1 species